GAUGAACGCUAGCUGCAGGCUUAACACAUGCAAGUCGAGGGACCGGCGCACGGGUGAGUAACACGUAUCCCACCUGCCCUUUACUCGGGGAUAGCCUUUCGAAAGAAAGAUUAAUACCCGAUGUAAAGGAUGGGGAUGCGUUCCAUUAGGUUGUUGGUGAGGUAACGGCUCACCAAGCCUUCGAUGGAUAGGGGUUCUGAGAGGAAGGUCCCCCACAUUGGAACUGAGACACGGUCCAAAAUCCUACGGGAUGCAGCAGUGAGGUAUAUUGGUCAAUGUGCGUUAGCCUGAACCAGCCAAGUAGCGUGAAGGAUGAAGGCUUAUUGGUCGUAAACUUCUUUUAUAGAAGAAUCUGUAUUAUAUGAAUAAGGAUCGGCUAACUCCGUGCCAGCAGCCGCGGUAAUUC
rnacentral:rRNA from 1 species